GACGAACGCUGGCGGCGUGCUUAACACAUGCAAGUCGAACGCUGAAGCUUGGUGCUUGCGCUGGGUGGGUGAGUGACGGACGGGUAAGAAGUAAGUAAGUAACCUGCAAUUGUGUCUUAGGUAUGGCUAGGAGGGUGGAACUACUGAUAGGUGUGACCAGCGACUGGAGGGUGGUGUAUGGAAAGGGCUUUAUUGGUUUUGGAUGGGCUCGCGGCCUAUCAGCUUGUUGGUGGGGUAAUGGCAUACCAAGGCGACGACGGGUAGCCGGCCUGAGAGGGUGACCGGCCACACUGGGACUGAGACACGGCCCAGACUCCUACGGGAGGCAGCAGUGGGGAAUAUUGCACAAUGGGCGGAAGCCUGAUGCAGCGACGCCGCGUGAGGGAUGACGGCCUUCGGGUUGUAAACCUCUUUCAGUACGGAAGAAGCGAGAGUGACGGUACCUGCAGAAGAAGCGCCGGCUAACUACGUG
rnacentral:rRNA from 1 species